UACAGAGGUCUCGAGCGUUGUCCGGAUUCAUUGGGCGUAAAGGGUGUGUAGGUGGCGCCGUAAGUCGGGUGUGAAAUUUCGGAGCUUAACUCCGAAACUGCAUUCGAUACUGCGGUGCUUGAGGACUGGAGAGGAGACUGGAAUUCAUGGUGUAGCAGUGAAAAUGCGUAGAGAUCAUGAGGAAGACCAGUGGCGAAGGCGGGUCUCUGGACAGUUCCUGACACUGAGACACGAAGGCCAGGGGAGCAAAACGGGG
rnacentral:rRNA from 1 species